GCUUAUGUUUCCCUACAUUGUUGAAGAAAAGCAAAUAUUUAUAUUGAACUUUGUUCUGUCACACAGGCUCAAGUAGAAACAUUUUAGCUAAUUCAUCAACAUCAGUCUCCACUGGACUAGAUUUCAACCCAAUGCUUCCUAGGAUACAUCUUGUUAGCAACCAUCACUUCAAAGCAAGAAGACGGCAAAACACACUGAGCAUUUUAAGCUUAAGUCUAGCAGUUUAGGAAAAAUCUGUAAAUACACAAGUGUGAGGAUAUCCAAACUACAGUUUUCCCUAAUUACCUCUGAAAGAAUCACAUGAAAUUAAUGUGCUCCCUGAAGCAAUCUAACAAAAAUUGUAUCAUUACUUUGAAUAAAGGUCAUAAACAUAUUAUGCAUGCAACAAUACUAUGCUUGAUGAACUAAAGUCUUGAAAGGACUUAAAACACUCCAAGAGCUAAACACCCCAAAAAUAUAUUAAAGUUCAUCUAUAACACAGUAAUUUAAAAUGAGAAAACCAUACCUGUUGCCAAGUCAGAUUUCUUUUUUCCCACAGAAUUAUCUUUCAAAAAAGGAGUUGCUAUGUAUUGAAAUCCUAGCACAGGUCCUUGUGUUACAGAGCAUACAAGGAAUGGCAAAUGUGCCACACUGGAAGAGCCUAAGUCAAUAGGACCUACAAAUGUAGGUUGCAACCUAGACAAUAUACUUUAAAUAAAAGGCCCCUAAUUCAAUGGAUAGGAUUAUUCUCAAAAAGCUACUUCCCAGUUUUCACCAUUGCACUAUUGUUAGGUAAGUUGACAACAUACAGGCAGUGGAGCAGAGAAUAUACAUAAAUUUUUUUGAAAGACUAACUUUGAAAUUAAGGGCUAGGAGAUAACUCAGUGACAAAGUGCUUGUUUAGCAAAUGCAACAUCCUGGGUGGAUCCCCAGUACCAAACAAGAAAAGACAAAAAAAAAUUCAAGAUUUAAAAAAAAUUAAUGCCAAUUUGUGACUAAAUACUACCUGGACUAAAAAAUAAAUACAAACUGACAGGAUUUUCUUCAAGUAUUGUCUGCCAGCUAUCCAAUUCUCCAAUGAGAGAACAACAAAUGUUAUGUUGUCUCUAGAGAUGUCUUAUAGCAUGCAAGCAAAUAUAUACACAGUGUAUGAGUAUUAUUUCUUCCCAGAAACAGAUCCCAGUCAUAGAGUUAUGCUAAGUACAUAUGAAAGGUGCUGCUACAGGCAUUAUUUCUGCAAUACAGUUUAUUAUGCCAAAAAUUGAACCCAAUACAUAUAAACUAAAAAGCUAAAACUUGAAUUCAAAUAUUUGGCUAAACAUACUAUGCAGAUGUCUAAGUAGGACAAUACAGCAAAGCUAAGUGGAGUUUGGGUCAGAAAAACAAAUACCACUCAAAAAUUACUAUUAAAAAACUAUGUAGCUUUUUCAUAAUAAAAUAAAUAUAUUUCUUAAAA